AAAAGAAACAAACUUGCCCUUCAGCUCUUUUGCCUCCUCGUACAGAUCAGCCAGGUUAGGGUGUUUGACCUUCCAUAAACCCUGAACCUGAGAACAGACAAGUUUGUCACCUUGGACUUGAAUUUUCGUAUAACCCCUUUUAAGAGCAUAUUUCAACCCUAAAAUCAUGGCUCUAUAUUCGGCUACAUUAUUUGUUGUUUUGCCCAAUCCUUCUCGCAAUCUGCA
rnacentral:misc_RNA from 1 species